GAUGAACGCUGGCGGCGUGCCUAACACAUGCAAGUCGAGCGAACAGACGAGGAUCUCGCCUCUCUGCAGUGAGGGGCGGAUGGGUGAGGAACACGAGGAUGACCUGCCGAUAGGGAUGAGAUAAGUAAACGAGAGCGGAGACCACAUCGGAUCAUAUAUUGAACCGCAUGGUUCUAUGGAGAAAGACGGUUCAGCUGACACUUGUAGAUGGUUGCACGGCGGAUGAGCUAGUUGGUAGGGUAACGGCUUACCAAGGCUACGAUGCGUAGCCGACCUGAGAGGGUGAUCAGGCACACUGGAACUGAGACACGGUCCAGACUCCUACGGGAGGCAGCAGUGGGGAAUAUUGGACAAUGGGCGAAAGCCUGAUCGAGCAACGCCGCGUGUGUGAUGAAGGUCUUCGGAUUGUAAAACUCUGUUAGUUGGGAGGAAGAGCAGUAUGAGAAAACAUGGAUGUCUUGACGGUACCUACAGAAGAAGCCACGGCUAACUACGUG
rnacentral:rRNA from 1 species